ensembl:snoRNA
UUCCUCUUGUAGUUUUAAGCAUGAUGAUUGGGUGUUCACAUACAUGUAUGAGAUGUGACGUCCUCAAACCUUGUUAGAACUUUUUCUUCUCAUGUCACAUUACCCAUCUGACA